UUGAACCCAGGAAGAAGCCUAGCUGC
rnacentral:piRNA from 1 species